AACGAACGCUGGCGGCAUGCCUAACACAUGCAAGUCGAACGAGACCUUCGGGUCUAGUGGCGCAUGGGUGCGUAACGCGUGGGAACCUGCCCUUAGGUUCGGAAUAACUCCCCGAAAGGGGUGCUAGUACCGGAUAAUGUCUUCGGACCAAAGAUUUAUCGCAUUUGGUGGGGCCCGCGUUGGAUUAGCUAGUUGGUAGGGUAAAAGCCUACCAAGGCGACGAUCCAUAGCUUGUCUGAGAGGCUGGUCAGCCACACUGGGACUGAGACACGGCCCAGACUCCUACGGGAGGCAGCAGUGGGUAAUAUUGGACAAUGGGCGAAAGCCUGAUCCAGCAAUGCCGCGUGAGUGAUGAAGGCCUUAGGGUUGUAAAGCUCUUUUACCCGGGAUGAUAAUGACAGUACCGGGAGAAUAAGCUCCGGCUAACUCCGUG
rnacentral:rRNA from 1 species